GGAUUCUGGAACAAGUCUCAAUUUACUUGGCCUAAUUCUGGAAUUCUCACAAAGUUAAAAAAGUCAUAUUUAGCCCUACAGACAAGCUGGCUUUGAGAUUCAACACAGAAUCACAAAUAUUACCAGAGCCUUUAACAUUCUAUUUUUUUAUAUACUAUGUUAGACCUCCCUUGGAAGGGGAAGAUUCUACCCUUAACCUGAGACUUCCUGCCUCCCCACAAAACGGAGAGAGAUCCUCAUGGCAGCAAACCACAGUGUCUUUGCGCCAGGCUGAGGCUGGAUGUGCAAUAAGACCAGGAGCAACAGACAUUACGUGCAUGGUGUUAUGGAUGCACUUCGGAACAGCUACAACAACUGGUGGGAGGAUUUCAAACUACUGCUUCAGUCUCUCUUUUGCAGAUAAAUACAUCCUGCCUUGUCCCUCGCCUGAUUCAGUGCAUGGCAUGGACCUGCUCUGGGGAUAAAUCAGGGCUGUACAAUGAAGGAGACUGUUGUCUGUAGGACCCCUGCCUCAUUUGUUGGAGAAGCUGGAAGGAAUGCCAAGAAAAUAGCUAUCUGUAAAGAAGGUUUAUAAUGCUUGGUUGAUGGGAUGAUUAUUACCGGAAGAGCACUUCUUGAGGUGUAAUAAAAA